rnacentral:misc_RNA from 1 species
GUAGCGCCUGCUACAUCACCGAAAAGGCAUCGCAGACCUUCGAUCGCAUCAGACGGUGGAGAGUAACACUAGCUCAAAACCCUAGCCUCCAACUCAUAUACCUGUUGCUCGCCCCGACGCGCAUCAACUUCCGUCGCCGCCCCUUCCUCUCCGUCGCUCGCCUCGCGCCUACGCCACCACCUCUGCCAUGGUGCCCCGAAGAAGGAUGAGGCCUCGCCGCCGUCGUCCAAGCCGGCCAAGUCCGGAGGCGGGAAGCAGAAGAAGAAGAAGUGGAGCAAGGGUAAGCAAAAGGAGAAGGUCAACAACGCUGUGCUCUUCGACCAGGCCACCUAUGACAAGUUGCUCUCCGAGGUGCCCAAGUACAAGCAGAUCACCCCAUCCGUCCUCUCCGAGCGUCUCAGGGUCCAUAAGAAGCUUACGUAUCCAUCAAUUACCAAUCCAGAGAGGAUGAUAUUGAUGAAUAAAGCACGAAGUUUCCGUCAAAGUUGUGGAUACCACAACCUAGAAGAGUUGGUGGUAGAUUUUUCAUCAAGUAUGAAAUGUCUGUGAUGCUGAGCUGGGUGCUUGGUGGCAACAGCUCUGAGGUGGGACCAAAGGUGGGCACGGAAGCAGAUGCCGCGGGAGGAUGAGAGGGAAGUGAAAAUAAAUAAUAGAAUAUAGAGUAAUUAGUAUAUAGUAGAGAUUUAAGAUAAAUAUUGUUGGUGACUUGUUCUCAAAUGCUAUGAAUCAAGAAAAUGUUAAAUGUCAAAGCCCUUCGUCCUUCGGAUCAUUAUUUCCCUUCGGAUCUAAUGAAUCUAGGACGAAGGUUAUGAAAGACAUGUCUUCAUGAUCAUGAUGAAAGAUGAAGAACAUUCAUAUAAAGUACAGAAAAUAAUAUAAUCUUUUGUGAACAUUAUUAUUAAUCUAUUUCCAUUUAUUUUAUUUGUACAAACAAUAUUAAAUUAUAAAUGUACCUUCGGCUUGAAGGAGUAAAAAUACAAGUAUGGCACCAAAAGCAAAUGCCGAGUCAGCGUGAACAGUACGGGAGUACUGUUCAUCUAUUUAUAGGCGCGGGUCGCAGCCCAUGCAAGAUUACAUUAAUGCCCUUUACAUUUAUCAAUAACUCUAUAGUAAUUCUUCGAGGUCUAAUCUGGUUUUUCAUCUUUAAGUCGGUUUCCCUUUCCGCCGUUAUGCCGAAGCUCUUCUGUGCAUAGCUUCGUAAUGAUCUUUUCCUUCGUCACAAUCACCUUCCGUCCCACUCAAGCUUCGUCUUGGCCUUAAUCUUAUAUACUCGUAAUCCAAUUCCGAAUAUACCUGCUCACACAUUUGACUUGGAAAACAUUGUUAAAUCAUGUUUUUGAGGACCUUCGGAAGCCGAAGGCCCCCAACAGUAGCCCCUCGCAAUAUUAGUUUGUUGUACUGAAAAAUUCAUAUUGCGAUAUGGACGAAGGCCUUAAGCCGAAGGUCCGAAAAAACACCUUUCCUUUGCUAGAAUAGCAACCAGUCAUUGACAAGCGGGACCCUCCAGUUUUCGACAUAAUGGGUGUAUAAAUAGGGGCUCGCCACAAUUUAUUUGGCACGCUCUCUUGCCAUCUGUUUUGCCUGCUCAAAUAGCUUUCUGCCCACAAAUAUUUGGUUGCCUCCCUAGUUUUAAGCUUCGGAAGCGAGAGGCAGGAAUUCUUAAGGGAUGUCUGAGGAGAAGAAGAUUGCUGCCGAAAUGAAGCUGAGCCUUUCUGAGGAGAAAAAUCUGGGCUUCAUUGAAUCAAUAGCAAAAACAAAUACAGAGAAAAUUACUAGGGAGAUUUUGGAAGGCUUAUCUGAAGAUACUGGUGAAAGUGAUAGUUAUGAUGCAGACAGUGGGGGUGAGGAUUCCGAAGAUCGACCAUGGCGACCAAGCCAUUCAGUCUUCGGAAAAUCAACUAUUGGGCAAAGUCACCUUGAAAACAUGAGGGGGAGAUAUUUUCGAGAUAUGUCCAUCGUGAGGGCAGAUAACGGAGAGAGGAUUGUGUCGACUCCCGAAGAUAAUGAAGUCGUUAUCUUCCGAAGCUUUUUUAAAGCUGGGCUACGAUUCCCUGUAAGCAAGUUUGUGGUAGAAGUUCUGAAAAUAUAUCAGGUUUAUCUUCAUCAACUUACCCCUGAAGCAAUAAUAAGAAUGGGAGUCUUCGUCUGGGCCGUGAAGAGCCAGGGCCUAGAGCCAAAUGCGAGAAGCUUUUGCAAUAUUCAUGAGUUAUUAUAUGAGACGAAACCCUGGGGCAAAGAGCAAUAUCAUAACAACUUUGGCUGUUACAGCUUCGGUGCUCGCUCUGGAUCAAGCUGUCCCGUGCCAAUCUUCCGGAAGAGAUGGCCCGGGGAAUGGACGAAGGAAUGGUUCUAUGUAAAAAAUGAUUUGAAGGUUCGAGAAGAUAUUAAGGAUAUUAUCAUGUGCCCUAUCUGGCAGCGCUUUGGACUCCAGAAACUGAAGGUAGAAAUGGAUGAAGUAGCCGAAGAAUGCCAACGGGCCUUCGGCAUAGUCUGCUCUUUUAUUGGGACAAGAGAUUUAAUACAAGAACAUAUUGCCUUCAGAGUGUGGCCACUUGCAGAUAAUUGAGAAAUGCCGAAAGAAACUGUUAAAGAGACUGACGAAGGUGGGCUAGUCAGGCUGAAGUAUACAUUCAAGUACGGAGACAAGUUCGUUGAACCAGAUGAUGAUUGGUUAAAGAGCAUUGAGACUGUAAGUGAUGAACUGCUUAUGGUAUAUUCGAAAGCCGAAGACACUGCAUUGUCAGCGGCCUUCGGAGGCCGAAAAAAGAAAAGACUCAACCGAGUGUUUGAUGCAAUCGGGUUCGUCUACCCCGACUAUCGCUAUCCAGUGCGGGGGCAAAAAAGAAAAGGCGCAACUGCUGCGAAAGAAACUGUUGUAGCUGCUCCUAGCGAGCCAGCGCCGAAGAGAAAAAGGGUAAAGGUUCUCACACACCGGCCACACUAUAUCGAACCAGCCACGGUGCCUGAGUUCGCCGGUGAGACCUCUUCGGCCACCGAAGCUAAAGAGCCAACCCUGCUGCCAGAAGUCAAAGAAGUGGCCGAAGUGCCAGCGACAGAAAAGAUGGAAGAACCAAAGACAGAAGAAGCGAAAGCAUCAUCUGAGGGAAUGAAAAUAUCAGAAAUUUUAAGUCCUUCAGACGAAAUCGAAGCAGCAAAAAUUAAAAAGGGGCCAACAGUGACCCCAAAAAGAAAAAGAAUGGUUAAUGUGUUAGAUGUUUUGGAAACAAUUAAACUUCCAAGCACAACCCCAAAGAAGACUUCUGGAACUUCUGAGGCACUUGUUGAAGUAUCCGUUGCUGAAACUCCGAAGCAACAGACUGGAAUUGAAACCGGGCAUUCAGAACCAACCAAGGUAAUACCUUUGAAAGCAGAAGAAACAAAAAUUGCAAAAGCAACCGGAAAAAUGAAAAUGUCAGAGCCAACUUUGGUUGAAGAAAUUGAUACCGCUGCCCCCGAAGCAUCUUCGAAAAUAUACGAUUAUAUCGUGUGACAUGCUUCGGGGAAAAAGUUAUCGGAAGAAGAAGUUUUUGAAGCUAAUCAUUAUGCCAAAGAAUUGAAAUAUCCGAAGGGGGCACUAGUAUUCAAUGGGACAAACGAAGAUGAUUUCCUAUACUGCCUCCCAGACAACAAAGAAUUAUCCGUCUGUCGGGAAAUGGCUAGAAGUAUGGGGUUUCCGAAGCUUGAAGCUGGAUUAUGCGCUAUGACGAAGGACGAUCUUGCGGAUAGUCUUGCGUACAAUAGCCUGAAGGUACAAGAACUGCGAGUCUGGAAAUUUUAUGAUUUGCAACCCAUUCUUUUAUUCUUAUACCAACUCUUUUACAUAUAUGGUUUAAUACUAAGCAACGCAUUGAGAGAGCAAAAGAAUGCCGAAUGAAAGCAUCUAGGCCCCUGGUUGGUUUUAGUGAUUAAUGACAACGUAAUAUUAUAUGUGACUAACGUGUGUUUUGCAGAGACAAAUGGUAAGUUAGGUCGCAUGACAGGUAGAAGUACAACGGUGAAAACAAUCCCGGAGAUAAGAACUCGAAGCGACGGCUAAAACGACGGAACAAAAGGUGAAGGUCUACGGAGUCCGAGUGUCAAGGAGAUGUGGACACUCGCGAUUUAGUUAGGUCUUUUAUUCUCUUUUAGCCGUACUAUAAAGAGGGGUUGUCGAUGAGUAGUUUGACCAAGAGAGUUCUAGUGUAGUGUUGGUGCACAAUCACACUCAUAUACAGUGCUAGGUGUCACUCUAGAACUCACACACAAGUUAGAGCGAAAACCGAUUUGAAAAUCAGCUGAAAAACAAGAGUUAGUGUUUCUGGCUUUGGGGCACCGGACUGUCCGGUGUGCACCGGACUGUCCGGUGUGCACCGGACUGUCCGGUGCACCCUCUGCCAGGUGGGGCCAGGCUGGUCCACGGCAGAGUCUUUCCCCUUCGCAGAAACCCGAGAGCGCAGCUUUCAGAGUUGAAUUUUAGUGGCACACCGGACACCGCAUCGGACUGUCCGGUGUGCACCGGACAAUGGACUGUUCACUGUCCGGUGCGCCAUGAGUCCAACGGCUCUCUGUCAGAACUAGCCGUUGGAAUCGACCGUUGGCGCACCGGUGGCGCACCGGACUGUCCGGUGCGCCAUCGCGCAGUGAAUUGCCUGUAACGGCUAGUUGGUGGGUGAGGGCUAUUUAUACCCCCUCCACCCACCAUAUUCAAUGUCUUGCACUCCACAUUUAUUCCAGCACAUUGCUAGAGCAUUGCAAGCACCAAAAAGCCUAGUGAGGAGAUUAGAGAAUCAUAAUCCGCGCUUGUUCCUCAUUAGCGCUAGUGAAAGCCACCUAGAGCACACACCACUUGCAUUAGGCUUCUCUUGGUCAAGCGAAAGUCUACGGCUUGUUACUCUUGGUGAUCGGCAUCACCUAAACGGCUUGGUGGCGUUGGGAGCUCGGUGAUCACCGUGAAGAUCUUGUUGGUGACCCGACUCAAGUUUGUAAGCGGUCUCGAGGGAUCCACCGCGCCGGAGUGGCAAAGGAUCAUCUCGUAGUGAGCACUUGGUUCUUGCGAGGACCAAGGGGGAGCGAUACCCUUGCGCGGGUGCUCCAACGAGGACUGGUGGAGAGUGCCGACUCUUCGAUACCUCGGGAAAAAUUGGAGGAGUCUUCUAAACUUUGCUUUACAUUCCGCACUUAAUUCAAGCACUUUACAUUG